rnacentral:rRNA from 1 species
GGGGAAUAUUGCACAAUGGGCGCAAGCCUGAUGCAGCAACGCCGCGUGAGCGAUGAAGGUCUUCGGAUCGUAAAGCUCUGUCCUAGGGGAAGAAUAUAUGACGGUACCCUUGGAGGAAGCCCCGGCUAACUACGUGCCAGCAGCCGCGGUAAUACGUAGGGGGCGAGCGUUAUCCGGAAUUAUUGGGCGUAAAGAGUUCGUAGGUGGUUUUGUAAGCGCGGGGUUUAAGGCAACGGCUCAACCGUUGUUCGCCUUGCGAACUGCAAGACUUGAGUGCGGGAGAGGAAAGUGGAAUUCCUAGUGUAGCGGUGAAAUGCGUAGAUAUUAGGAGGAACACCAGUGGCGAAGGCGACUUUCUGGACCGUAACUGACACUGAGGAACGAAAGCGUGGGGAGCAAAC